rnacentral:rRNA from 1 species
GAUGAACGCUGGCGGCGUGCCUAAUACAUGCAAGUCGAGCGAACAGACGAGGAGCUUGCUCCUCUGACGUUAGCGGCGGACGGGUGAGUAACACGUGGAUAACCUACCUAUAAGACUGGGAUAACUUCGGGAAACCGGAGCUAAUACCGGAUAAUAUAUUGAACCGCAUGGUUCAAUAGUGAAAGACGGUUUUGCUGUCACUUAUAGAUGGAUCCGCGCCGCAUUAGCUAGUUGGUAAGGUAACGGCUUACCAAGGCAACGAUGCGUAGCCGACCUGAGAGGGUGAUCGGCCAGACUGGAACUGAGACACGGUCCAGACUCCUACGGGAAGCAGAAGUAGGGAAUCUUCCACAAUGGGCGAAAGCCUGACGGAGCAACGCCGCGUGAGUGAUGAAGGUCUUCGGAUCGUAAAACUCUGUUAUUAGGGAAGAACAAAUGUGUAAGUAACUAUGCACGUCUUGACGGUACCUAAUCAGAAAGCCACGGCUAACUACGUG